rnacentral:rRNA from 1 species
GCUUUCGGGUGCCGAGUAGAGUGGCGAACGGGUGAGUAAUGCGUGGAUAACCUGCCUUCGAGAGGGGGAUAACGUCUCGAAAGGGACGCUAAUACCGCAUGAUGUUCGCGGUCUCCUGGCUGCGAACCAAAGAUGGCCUCUGCAAGCAAGCUGUCGCUCGGAGAGGGGUUCACGUCCUACUAGCUUGUUGGUGAGGUAACGGCUCACCAAGGCAGCGAUGGGUAGCCGGCCUGAGAGGGUGUCCGGCCACACUGGGACUGAGACACUGCCCAGACUCCUACGGGAGGCUGCAGUCGAGAAUCUUCCGCAAUGCGCGCAAGCGUGACGGAGCGACGCCGCGUGGGUGAUGAAGGCCUUCGGGUUGUAAAGCCCUGUUGCCUGCGAAGAACGUCGGACGGUGAAUAGCCGUUCCGACUGACGUCAGCAGGCGAGAAAGCACCGGCUAAAUACGUGCCAGCAGCCGCGGUAAUACGUAUGGUGCAAACGUUGUUCGGAAUCACUGGGCAUAAAGAGCACGUAGGCGGUCUGGUAAGUCUGACUGUGAAAUCCCUCGGCUCAACCGAGGAACUGCAUCGGAUACUGCCGGACUCGAGUACGGUAGGGGAGAGUGGAAUUCCUGGUGGAGCGGUGAAAUGCGUAGAUAUCAGGAGGAACACCAGUGGCGAAAGCGACUCUCUGGGCCGUAACUGACGCUGAGGUGCGAAAGCCA